UACGUAGGGUGCAAGCGUUGUCCGGAAUUAUUGGGCGUAAAGAGCUCGUAGGCGGUCUGUCGCGUCUGCUGUGAAAACCUAGGGCUUAACUCUGGGCGUGCAGUGGGUACGGGCAGGCUAGAGUGCGGUAGGGGGAGACUGGAAUUCCUGGUGUAGCGGUGAAAUGCGCAGAUAUCAGGAGGAACACCGAUGGCGAAGGCAGAUCUCUGGGCCGUAACUGACGCUGAGGAGCGAAAGCAUGGGGAGCGAACAG
rnacentral:rRNA from 1 species